GACGAACCGUGCAAACGUUGUUCGGAAUCACUGGGCUUAAAGGGCGCGUAGGCGGCCGAGCGGGUCGUGGGUGAAAUCCCCCAGCUCAACUGGGGAAGUGCUUACGAUACCACUGCGGCUGGAGGAAGGAAGGGGCAGCGGGAACUGUCGGUGGAGCGGUGAAAUGCGUUGAUAUCGAUAGGAACUCCGGUGGCGAAGGCGGCAUACUGGUCCACUUCUGACGCUGAGGCGCGAAAGCCAGGGGAGCAAACGGG
rnacentral:rRNA from 1 species